rnacentral:rRNA from 1 species
GGGCGAUAGGGGUGCUACACAUGCAGUCGAGCGGAAGGCCCUUCGGGGUACUCGAGCGGCGAACGGGUGAGUAACACGUGAGCAACCUGCCCCAGGCUUUGGGAUAACCCCGGGAAACCGGGGCUAAUACCGAAUAUGACCUCUGACCGCAUGGUUGGUGGUGGAAAGUUUUUCGGCUUGGGAUGGGCUCGCGGCCUAUCAGCUUGUUGGUGGGGUGAUGGCCUACCAAGGCGACGACGGGUAGCCGGCCUGAGAGGGCGACCGGCCACACUGGGACUGAGACACGGCCCAGACUCCUACGGGAGGCAGCAGUGGGGAAUAUUGCACAAUGGGCGGAAGCCUGAUGCAGCGACGCCGCGUGAGGGAUGACGGCCUUCGGGUUGUAAACCUCUUUCAGCAGGGACGAAGCGUAAGUGACGGUACCUGCAGAAGAAGCGCCGGCCAACUACGUGCCAGCAGCCGCGGUAAGACGUAGGGCGCGAGCGUUGUCCGGAUUUAUUGGGCGUAAAGAGCUCGUAGGCGGCUUGUCGCGUCGACCGUGAAAACUUGGGGCUCAACCCCAAGCCUGCGGUCGAUACGGGCAGGCUAGAGUUCGGUAGGGGAGACUGGAAUUCCUGGUGUAGCGGUGAAAAUGCGCA